rnacentral:rRNA from 1 species
GACGAACGCUGGCGGCGUGCUUAACACAUGCAAGUCGAACGAAGUGGCGAACGGGUGAGUAACGCGUAAUCCACCUGCCCUUCAGUGGGGGACAACAGUUGGAAACGACUGCUAAUACCGCAUACUGAAGGAGGGGUAUGCGUCUGAUUAGCUAGCUGGGGGGGUAACGGCCCACCAAGGCGAUGAUCAGUAGCCGGUCUGGGGGGGGGAACGGCCACAUUGGGACUGGGGAACGGCCCAGAAUCCUACGGGAGGCAGCAGUGGGGAAACUUCCGCCAUGGACGAAAGUCUGACGGGGCAACGCCGCGGGAGUGAUGACAGCCUUCGGGUUGUAAAGCUCUGUUAAUCGGGACGCGGUACCGGAAUAGAAAGCCACGGCUAACUACGUGCCAGCAGCCGCGGUAAUAC